rnacentral:rRNA from 1 species
UACGUAGGCAGCGAGCGUUGUUCGGAGUUACUGGGCGUAAAGGGUGUGUAGGCGGUUGUUUAAGUUUGGGGUGAAAUCUCCCGGCUCAACUGGGAGGGUGCGCCGAAUACUGAAUGACUUGGAGUGCGGGAGAGGAGAGUGGAAUUCCUGGUGUAGCGGUGAAAUGCGUAGAUAUCAGGAGGAACACCGAUGGCGAAGGCAGCUCGCUGGGACGGUACUGACGCUGAGGCGCGAAAGCGUGGGGAGCAAACGGG